AUGGCGACGACGACGCUCACGUCAACCACCAUCGCGUCGUCCCCGCGGCCGCCCGCCCCCUUGUGCGGCCGCUCCGGCUGGCAGCGUGCACGCCGCCCGCCGUCAUCAUCUUCAUCCUCCGGUCAGGGCGGCUGCGCGCGGCCGCUGGACCGCGUGGCCGGGUGGGUCGGCGGCGGCAUCGCCGCGGCCUUCUUCGCCUCCCUGGAGCGGUGCUCCUGCGUGAACGUCCGCACGCACGACGACCUCGACGACGACGAGCAGAGGGACUCCGUGGCGCCGCUGAUGCUCUACGACGACGGCAACGACGACGAGGGCAGGGGGAGGAGCAGGAGGAGGUGCGGAGGAAGCAGGAAGGGCAGGAGGAGCGGCGGCGGCGUGGGUUGCUACGGUGAUCAAAUUUGA
rnacentral:rRNA from 1 species